rnacentral:SRP_RNA from 1 species
GCCGGGCGUGGUGGCGCGCGCCUGUAGUCCCAGCUACUUGGGAGGCUGAGGCAGAAGAAUCGCUUGAACCCUGGAGGGUGCAGUGAGCCAAGAUCGUGCCACUGCACUCCAGCCUGGGCGACAGAGUGAGACUCUGUCUCAA